rnacentral:lncRNA from 1 species
ACUCUGGAGCCGCGGCACAUCUGGAUGGAGUCAGCUGCCUAGCGCCAGGGGCCAGCACGGCCCAGCCAGCGGAGCGCGGCGCAACAUAAUAUGAGACAAGGGCCAAGAACUGCAGAACUGUGCACGGUGUUUAGAAGAGGCUGCGAGCUGCUGCUCUGCAGAGUUGGGAGGUGCUUUCGGGCUCUGCAGGCUCCCUGCAGGCCCUUGCUGACUGUCCAUGGCCUGCACCUGCCCUACCUGCUGAGCUGCCCCAUCAGCUGCUCCUGGCUGUGGUUUCCUGAGGGGUCCCGUCUGCAUCGGCUGCCCUGUGUCCUGACACUAUGGUGGGUUUGCAAGUGGCAAAGUCCAGGGAAGGAGACUGGGGAGCAUGGCCAUGGGUCAUCCGGGGGGCACGGAGGGUUCCGGCUCCCGCCCAGGUCCACCUGCUUCAUCAGCAGUGGUCACCAAGAUUGCAUAACCAGGACGAUGACAACGCUGAGAGCUCUGUUGCAGUUAAAGACUUAAGAACAACUUGUGCCUGCUGACUAAUACAUUUUAUCACCCAGGCAGCGUCAGGACUCUGAGAGCCUCUCACAUGCUGCUGUCAUCUGAGCGAGACCUCAAGAUUUGUCAUCGAGCAGGCUGACCCUUGCCUGAAUGGACCUCACAUUCUUGAGGCAGGGAGAGAUCUGCAAUCAGCAUGAUCGAUCAGCGAUUUUCAUAAGACGUUAGAAGUCAUCAGAGCUUAGGAAACAGGGUGAGGAAGUAGGGGAGGAGCCGGAAGGGCCCCCAUUUAAAACAAGGUGGCCAGGAUAGGCCUCUCUGUAGGGGUGACAUUGAAGAAAUGGUGGGAGAGGGUGUGAGGUGCACAUCUCUGAGGGCAGAGUGUUCUGGAGACAGGAAACCAUCUGUGCAAAGGCCCUGUGGUGAGAGGGUGCUAGGAGCUAGCAAGCCCAGUCUACUCAACACAGCCAUCAUUUUAAAACCUCGGUGAGCCCUGUCCCUUAUCUUCUGAACCCCCUCCCACAGAAGCGGAUGUCACUGAGAGUGAAAGCUGCAGUGUAGGGUGGCCUCCUCUGCACACCGGCCCUGGCCCUCUGACCUCUUCUACCCCAUGAUGGUCCCCUGUCAGCUGGGUCUAGAGUGGACCGUCGGGGCAGACCUGGAAGGGGAAGGCUGUCAAGUUCCUGCUCCCCUGUGACAUACAGCAACACAUUUGUUUCCCCCUGGAUUCUGGGGAUCAGCAACAUGUGCGGGUGGGGGCAGGGCAGUCCUGCUGCUCUGGGAUGGGCUGCCCCCUCAGGGAGGACUGGCCAGCUGGGUGGCUCUGCUCCUGGAGAGUGACCGGCCAUUUGCUGGGUGGAUGGGGUGACUGUCCUGAGAGCUUGGCACCACCAGAAGUGUAGUCCACGCAGCCCUUCACAGGUGGCUCAGGGUGCCCAGCGGGGCAAGAGGUGGCCCUCAAGCUAAGCUUGAGCUUAAGCCUAAGCCUAAGCUUGCCACGCUUGGGCUAGGAUGCCAAGUCUCCAUGCUGGCUGCUGGUCACAGCUCUGUCCCUGUGGGAGAAGACGACUGAAGCCUGGCCAGGCUGGGCCAUCUCCCCAGCAGCCACCAGGGCUUGCUGUGAGAUGUGGGAGCCAUGCUAGGGUCCUGCCCCGGGGAUGUUGGUAGGCAUGGUGGGAAGCAGUGCAAUUAUGGAUAUUUUCUGGAGAUAAUCAUCAACAGGAUUUGCUGAUGGAAUGGACCUGGAAUACAAGAAGAAAAGGAAUCAAGGAUGGCUCUGAGGUUCGGGGCUUGAGCAACUUGGAUGGGGGUGCUGCUGAGUCAGGUGGGAGGGGAGCAGGCUCAGGGGAUGCGGACUCCAUUUGAAGUGGCCGCGUUGGAGAUGUCUGUGGACAUCCACGUGAAAUGCUGAGUGGCCAGCUGGACAUGUGGAUCUGGUGUCCAGGGGGAAGUUUGGGCUGCAGAUACAGAUUUCACCAGGACAUAUUUUUAGUGAUGCAUAGACUGACCAGGCUCGAAAGAAGCACAGGGUGUGCAGCCCCAUUCUGGUAAGCGUGUCUCUGCCUUUACUGAGGUGUCUCCACUGCAUCCUUGAUUUAAUGGAAUUCAACUGAACCAUCAUUGAGCAUCUGUUGUAUACGAUGUACUCUGGAGGCAUAAAAACUAUUGGGAGAAAUGAGGAAGUAAAUAAGUAAUAUUGAUAUAAUUCUUCUAUUAAUAAGAAUCAAUUUAUCUGAAAACAAAAAGUCUCUUAAGCAUUUGAAUAAAAUAGAAAGCCUUUAUUAACAUAUGAAAAUAAAUCCAUACCCAUAAAUAAAAAUCUGCACACUCACGGGUGCUGACCAGUAUAUCCUAGCUCACCAGCACAGUGGGCUGGGUGUGGAGAAGGUGGGCAUUCAGCUUUCACAUCAGGCAGAGGGAGCCUUGGAGCGGAGGGUGCUGGCUCAGGACUGCUGGCCAAGCCCAUGGUGGAGUCAGGCCGGCCUGCAGUUGGACACUCUUGACUGAUUAAACAUUAAUAGGCAAUUCUAACAAAAACAGAGAGGAUGGCAACUCCAUAGGAAGGAGGGCCACAUGUGGGGGUGAAUUCCAAGUCAAACAUUUUCCCCAAAGAAUUUGUUGUUAAACUUUUAAUUUUGAGAUAACUGAAGAUUCACAUGUAGUGGUCAGAUAUAAUAUAGCAUGAUCUUCUGUGCCUUUUACCCAGUUUUCUCCGUCAUAACAUCUGCAAACGUAGCACUAUAUUACAGUAUCUCAACCAGUGUAUAAAUGCAUACACUCACCAGUGUCACUGGGGUUCCUCCAGUCUCAGUUCAUUUGUGUGCAUUUAUUUUCCGUAACUGUAUCACUGCUGUAGAGUAGGAUGGCCACCUUGACAGUCAAGAGGCAGAACAGCUCCACACGAGGGUUCCUGUCUUCCUUGCUCCUGGAACCAUUAAUCUGCUCUCCGUCUCUAUAAUUUUAUCCUUUGAGACUGUUACAUAAACAAAACCACACAGUAACCUCACAAGGCAUUUUUGCACUCAGUAAAAUGCCCUUGAGACCCAUUCACGUUGCUGUGUGUAUCAGAGCCCGUUCCUUUCCAUAGCUGAGCCGUGUUCCUGGUGUGGACACACCACUGUUUAAUCAGUCAUCGUCGAAGGACGGCUGCCUUGUCCCCCAUUUUCGACCAUUACAAAUGAAGCUUCCAUGAGCAUUCAUGUACAAGUUUCUUUGUGAACUUAAGCUUUCAAGAAAUUAAAAAAGAAAUGUUUUCAAAUGCUUGAGCAAAUAGCCAAGAUCCCAGGGCACCGUGGGAAAGUGUGGAAGUGAGGAUUUUUUUUUUUUUUUUGAGAUGGAGCCUUGCUCUGUGGCCCAAGCUGGAGUGCAGUGGCACAAUCUCGGCUCACUGCAACCUCCGCCUCCCGGGUUCACACCAUUCUCCUGCCUCAGCCUCCCGAGUAGCUGGGACUACAGGUGCCUGCCACCACACCUGGCUAAUUUUUUGUUUUUGUAUUUUUAGUAGAGAUGGGGAUUCACCGCGUUAGCCAGGAUGGUCUUGAUCUCCUGACCUCGUGAUCUGCCUGCCUCGGCCUCCCAAAGUGCUGGGAUUACAGGCAUGAGCCACCGCGCCUAGCUGGAAAUAAAGAUUUUAACUUGAAAAUUGUAUGAAUAAAAGUUACUAGUUGGCAACCUCGACCAUGAAACUAAACUUCAGCAUGGCUCACUUGGAGCCUGUGACUUUGAGAGCGCUGCCUCCUGCUUCUGCCUCCCUGCAUGAACUGACUUAGUGAAAGACGCUAUGGAAUAUUACCCGUUUGAAUGCUGGAGAAUGCCUGACAAAGACCAUUUAGCUUUGCCACCGUCAGCGUUCUUUCUAACUGCACCGAGCUGACACUGAGUCUUCAGUGUGCCUCUGCGAAUAAUACAAUUAUGCUACCAGCUGAGAAAAUAGCUCCCAUCUUUCUUUUGGCUUGGGCAGGAUGACAUGUGUUCAUUGCAUUUUUUUUUUUGAGGUGGAAUCUCGCUCUGUCACCAGACUGGAGUGCAGUAGUGCGACGUUGGCUCACUGCAACCUCUGCCUCCUGGGUUCAAGCUAUUCUGCCUCAGCCUCCGAGUAACUGGGACUACAGGGGCACGCCACCACAUCCAGCUAAUUUUUGUAUUUUUAGUAGAGACAGGGUUUCACCAUGUUGGCCAGGAUGGUCUCGAUCUCUUGAUCUCAUGAUCUACCUGCCUUGGCCUCCCAAAGUGCUGGGAUUACAGGCAUAAGCCACCAUGCCCAGCCAAUUUCAAAAUUUUAAGUGGUUAUUUUGAGAAUUUAAAACGUGGGGGAUGAGGACUUUGGAUGCUGCUGUAUCUGUAGUGAUUCUGAGAGUUGUGUUAUUUUGUAGUCAUACCUUACACAAGGCCUCCUCUGCUUUCUGAAUGUGGCAUGCAGGGGAGAGGGUCUGCACUGGUCCUCAACCCGGGUACAGCUGGAGUAUGUGGCUGACACCAGCGUGAGUGCUGUCCUUGGAGGAGACUGCAUUUCCCAAGUGGUGCUUCAGAAGAAGUUCCUGGAAUAAUAGUGGAGGACAUUUCACUUUGAUUUUUUGGGCAUGCUGUCUCAAAUGUCCUCCAUGCCCUCGGGCAAAUUGGAAGUCAAGGUUGGUCAAAUUUAGGGGUGUCUAAGACAGGCAUCUCCACCGGAUGCCUUACAUUGAUAGCAGUGACAUCAUUGUUUAAAUGAUCAUCUCUGAAUAAUCAAACAUAACAUGUUAUGUGUGGAUUUGUCUGCUAUCGCUGAAACUGUUCUGGAUUUGGAAGAACUGGACAGAGGUGCCUUGAGUGACGGUCAGUAUUCGAGUGUGAGGGCCAUAUUUUGUCACCUGAAUGAAGUAGGGUGCCAUUUCCAGAGGAGGCGUGGCGGAAGUGGUGCUUCUUGGCUGGGUGCCGGCUCAUCUAUUCAGCCUGACACAGUUCCACAUGUGCCUUUGACCAGUGCCACCCCUGGCCUGCACUGAAAUGCCGUAGUCUCUCUUCUUGGUGUGUUUCUAGACCUUGAUGAUCUUCCUGCCUGGUUAUCCUCUGAAUACUGCAUAGCCAUAUAUUGUCUUCCCUUGAAGGUCCAGAUUCAAACUUUUAGGAAUUCAUUCACCAAGUAUUUACAACAUGCCACAGAUUUUGUUAGUGUUGGGGAGACAAAAGGUAUAGUUCCAAGUGCCUUUAGAUGCCUUCAAGACAGACACAAGACACAAUCUGCACACGAAUUCCUGGUGUGGUGGCCCUGGUUGUGAGGUGUGACGGGAGUGCUGAUGAGGGACCCCAAGCCACCUGGGGCCAGAAGGGUCCUUUCCUCUGAGACCUGCUGGGCCACUAUCUCUUAGCUGGGUUAGCAGGUCUCCUUGAUAAGCAUCCACGUGGUCCAUGGCACACUGAGAGCUUCUCUCCCUGUCAGGCACCUAGGCAUUCCCUGUGUGUCUGUCUCAGGUCUUUCAACUGGCAUUGCAUUUGAUUUCUUUUCAGCCUUUGGUUAGUAUUCUCACUACACUAGGAAAACAUGUGAGGUGACCUCCACAACAAUACACAGGACCAUUAAAAAUAACAUCAGGGGGAAGGACCAGCCAGAGGAAGAGUGGGAGAUGAUGCCAGCAAAAGUCUGUCUGCAGGUGCAUCUGUCUGCAGGUUGCCCUGGGCUCCAGUGACCAGCCUGCUCUGUCUACCUUUGCAUGAUCUCCUGCAAAUUGAGUAGCUUAAUUUUUUUUAUUUUUAUUUUUAAAAUGGUAUCUCUCUGUCACCCAGGCUGCAGUGCAGUGGUACAAUCACAGCUUACUGCAGCGUCGACCUCCCGGGCUUAAGGGAUGCUCCCGUCUCAGCCUCCCAAGUAGCUGGGACCACAGGCACAUGCCACCACGCUUGGCCAGGUGGCUUACUUUAGUGUUAGUUGGUGUGCUACUAAAGAAUUAAAAAAAAUUAUCAUUGAGAGUGUAAUAUAAGCUGAUAAAAGCUUGAAAAUACUAGAUCUUCAUUGUUUCUAGAAAAUUUGGAACUCCAUGUUGGGAAUUCUAGAAUGGCUACGGCCGCCAGCCCUCAUUAGACCCUGAAAUGAAGGAACUCAGUCCUGUGGUUUGUUUUUAACUUCCUUUCUGUUUCUUUGUCCCUGUCUUUCUGAGCCUGGCUUUUGUUGUUGUUGUUGUUGUUGUUAAUCUGUAUUUAAUCCAAGCUCCAAUACUUUUCCCUGUGCAAGUCUUCAGGACAUUCCUUGCUCUUGAGUCCAAGUAUUUGCCUGUGAAAAACAGGGAAAAUGAUAUGUACCUUAUGCUGAUGUCACUGGGUAAAUUAAAUGAUGGCUAACUAUAUAAAAUGUCUAGUGAGGUGCCUGGAAGAAAACGUGUUCUCAGCAGCUCUUAGGAGUCCAGGUUUCAGUCCUGAUCUGCUGACUUCCACUGGAGUCCUGCUGGCACUCUGGGUGGUUAGAGGACAGGAGAGCCAUGCAGUGCACGGGGAGGAAGGCGGCAGUGCCAGCUCACAUCUGGCAGGGGGCAGUGGCCCUGGUGUUGGGAAGCCCAUACCUCCUGGCUGCUGUAGUGUGCUGUGACCCGCUUCACCUGCACCCAUCUACAGACCUGCCCUCGGGGUCCCUCAGUAAGAACCAACUGGGAUUCAACUUUAGCUGACAUGGAAGAGUGAUCUCUACACUGUAGAUGAGUAAAAGGCAAAAGUCUUGUAUUUAAUGAUAUCAAAGCAUGGUAAAUUAUUCAAAAAUUUUCACAUGGAGCAGUUGUUUUGAAUGAGGUCCACUUAAUGCUACUCAAUAAGGUCUUAAUUUGUAUAUGAUUUCACCAUUAAGUCUAUCAUGGUGCAACCAUUAAUAGCGAGCAUUGGUUAAAUACUUGCAUUAUUUGUAAGGGGAUUCCAUAAAAUAUAUAUAGUCAUUAAAAUUGUUUUGAGUAGGUAGCACAGUCAUAGAGUUCCAAAUUCAAAACGUACAAAAGUUUAAAUAAUGUAUUCUUCCACUCUUGUCUUGACACAAAUUCCCUUCCUAUGAAACAGCCAGUUCUAUAAUUUUUCUAAUAUUUUUCAGAAAUAGGUUACAUCUCUACAAAGGAAGUUAAUUCAUGUUCGUAUUCUUCCUUCUUUAUAUAAGUGGUAAAAAUACUGUACACACUCUUCUGCCCUUGUAAGAGCAAUAUAUUUUCAAGUGCAUUCCAUAUUUGCACACAAACAUUCCUUGCAUCCUUUCUACAGCUGCAUUAUAUUCUAUUGUAUGAUAUGCUGUAUUAUUUAAAAGUCCUUUAAUGAUGUAUACUUAUGGCUGUCUCCAACAUUUUGAUCUUACUAAUAGUGUUAUAAUAACAAGUAUGUGUAUAUGUCAUCUCACAUGUAUUAGAGUAUUUCUGUGUGAAAAUUCCUAGAAAUAAAAUUGCCAGAUCAAAAAAUACAUGCAUUAGUAAUUUGUAUGUAUUUUGCCAAACUGCUUUUAUAGAGGUAUGACCAGUUAGCAGCCUCACCAGCAGCACAGAAGCAAUGUAGAUAUGACAUCCCCACAAUCUCUCACUGACACACCAUGUUACCCAAUUUUUUUUCCUCAAAGAUCCUUGUUCUGACCAUUAUCCAAAUUUUGAUCUCUAUGAGAGAGGUGAAAAACAAUUUAAUAUAAUUUUAUUUGACAUCACCUUAUUAGAAGAGAGGUCAAGCCUUCUUUCCAAAUGUUUGAAGGGCAUUUGUAUAUUCUUCCUUUUCCCCCCACAUUUUCCUACUCUGUUUUGACCUGUUGGUUGUUGGUUUGUAAGAGUAUUGUAUUUAUUGGAAAAACUAGCAUUUUUAUGUUUGCGAAAUGCAAUUAUGUUCCCUAGCUUGUCUUUUUUUUUUUUUUCGAGACAGAGUCUCGCUCUUGUCGCCCAGGCUAGAGGGCAAUGGCGCGAUCUCAGCUCACUGCAACCUCUGCCUCCCGGGUUCAAGUGAUUCUCCUGCCUCAGCCUCCUGAGUAGCUGGGACUACAGGCAUGCACCACCACGCCCAGCUAAUUUUUGUAUUUUUAGUAGAAACUGGGUUUCACCAUGUUGGCCAGGCUGGUCUCGAACUCCUGACCUCAGGUGACCCACCCACCUCAGCCUCCCAAAGACCUGGGAUUACAGGGGUGAGCCACCGCGCCUGGCCGCUAGUCUUCUUUUUUAAGUACUCACUUAGAGUGGUUCUUUUUUGUA